rnacentral:rRNA from 1 species
GACAGAGGGUGCAAACGUUGUUCGGAAUUACUGGGCGUAAAGCGAGUGUAGGCGGUCCGACAAGUCGGGUGUGAAAGCCCUGGGCUCAACCCAGGAAGUGCACUCGAAACUGCCGGGCUAGAGUACUGGAGAGGUUGGUGGAAUUCUCGGUGUAGAGGUGAAAUUCGUAGAUAUCGAGAGGAACACCGGUGGCGAAGGCGGCCAACUGGACAGAUACUGACGCUGAGACUCGAAAGCGUGGGGAGCAAACAGG